GCCCCUGUAGUGUAGCCCGGCCCAUCAUGCCGGCCUGUCGAGCCGGCGACCCGGGUUCAAAUCCCGGCGGGGGCG
rnacentral:tRNA from 1 species